AGAAAGAAUUUCAGCUUUGGGUGCUGAUAGUGGGGCUGUUGCUUCUUCCUUGA
rnacentral:tRNA from 1 species